UUGGUGUUAUAGUAUUCAUUUUCAAAAAAUAAAAAAGUAAAUGGAAAAUAAAAAUGAAUUCGAAAUGUUGGAAUGCUAAAGUUGUGGAGAAAAGAAAAAAAAAUUGCCUAAAUUAGUGACUCUCUCAUAGUCGUCUGUCUCCUUCCCCCCUCUCUCUCUCCUGGUUCCCACCUCUCCGAUAUUUUAGGUCGUCAAUGCCUUCUGUCAUCUCUCUCCCCUUUUAGGUAUUCAAUCUGUGAUCUGCCGUAGACUUUACCUAAUAAAUUCAGAGUUUUCAAGCUUCCUUUCUCUUCAAGCCGCGUUUUUUAAUUGAAGAUGAUCGUAAGUUUAUUGUCAACGGUAACUGGAAAUUCUUUAUUUGCUCAUAUGUAACAACACACGGACUGAAACGCAAUUUGCACUCCAGAUUGUCUUCUAGCAACCAGGUACGCAACCCAGACUGUUACCAAAUCUUUUGUGAUUGAGUUAUAUACGGAUUAAAAGCACCUGUUUGUGAAUGUUUAUUGUGAAGCUCUCACAGGUGUUUGUAUAUUUUUAUGGUGUGACAUCUAUGUGUGUGACUUAGAGCAUCUCCCACUUUAUUUUUGCCACAGCAUUUUAUUCAGAGUGUAAAAUAGAGUAAAGGCUCCAACCCAACUUUGUUUUGCACUCUGUCAAUUGAGAAAUGACUGGUUACACUCUAAAUUUGGAGUGUAAAUUAUACGAUCUCUAACACACUUUACUUUUGAACUCUAUUUUUAAAGUGUAAAAUAGAAUUUACGCCUA